GGGAAGAAAUUACAUUGUUCCAGUGCAUUCUUUAUGGGUAUAACCUCAAACAAAGUGCUGCAUUUGGGUGACACACCUGGAGAACGCAGCCCUUGUCAACGGAGAGCAUCACAAAGACCCAAGCCCAAGAAGGGAACUGUUCUCCCAGCCCUGUAGUAUAUGGAACAAAUUUACCAAAGCCUGCAACCUAGCGACUAGAAAACGGAAGACAAUGGUCUUCAGAGAUGUGGACUGUUCGGAUGAGAAGUGUUGUGUUCCAGGGUGCAUGUGCACCACAUCUGAACGCCUGUCCUCAUGAGCCAGGGUAAAAGGGACCGCCUGCUAUUCAGGGCUGAAGUGAUCAUAAUGAAACACAGGCUGUCAGUCCGCUCUACACAUUCAGCACACAGGAAUACAGAGAACCUGAAAAAUCACAGGAAGCCAAAGUAGAAAGGGUAAAAAUGGAAAACUUUUUCUGUAAUGUGUCAGAAAAACCCCAAAAAACCCCAUGACUCUAUCUCGGAAAGAGGCAAAUGAGACAAACACUGACUUCAUUUUACAAGGGGAGGCUGGAAGCACGUUUUGAACACCAACAGCAUGUGUGCCGAGAUAAUGGGAAGGAUCGGCUCGUCUUAUGACUCAAAGAGGAGCAGAUGGUCUGUGGGAGCCGGAGAAGGACUUUUCCCUCCUCGGUGGAGGCUGCACGGUGCUGGGGACGAGAGGCAGCGGCGACGGAGGGCUCGCCUGAGUCUGAAGCCCAACCAGGAUGUAAAACGGGACGACUAGUUGGGAGACCAGCUCUCUCCUCAGUCUUGCGGGCAACUGCGUACUCUCUGGGUCUUACAUGUAACAUGCGGUGCAUUAAUAGUAAGUGUAAGACUGUUUACCACGGUAUCGUUUGUGAAAUCAAAAAUACUGGAAAUUACCAAAGCUUCCAAUGGUUAACCAAUGGUUAGUUAGUCAUGGAAUGUUCAUAUCCUGGAAUAUUCUGUAGCAGUUUAAAAAAAA